rnacentral:rRNA from 1 species
AACGAACGCUGGCGGCAUGCCUAACACAUGCAAGUCGAACGAGACCUUCGGGUCUAUUGUCGCACGGGUGCGUAACGCGUGGGAACCUUCCCUUAUGUUCGGAAUAACUCCCCGAAAGGGGUGCUAAUACCGGAUAAUGUCUUCUGACCAAAGAUUUAUCGCCUUUGGAUGGUCCCGCGUUGGAUUAGCUAGUUGUUAGGGUAAAAGCAUACCAAGGCGACGAUCCAUAGCUGGUAUGAGAGGAUGAUCAGCCACACUGGGACUGAGACACGGCCCAGACUCCUACGGGAGGCAGCAGUGGGGAAUAUUGGACAAUGGGCGAAAGCAUGAUCCAGCAAUGCCGCGUGAGUGAUGAAGGCAUUAGGGUUGUAAAGCUCUUUUACCCGGGAUGAUAAUGACAGUACCGGGAGAAUAAGCCCCGGCUAACUCCGUG